GGGAACGAGUCUAGGCUCUUGCUCAGCUCUUGGAAGAACUUUUGCUUCUCAGCUGGCUCUUUGAUCUGGGGGAACAAGGACAGGUUACAGUAGCCACGUGACCUUGGGUGAGUGCCUCCAUCUGUGAGACGCGCUAACAACUACGCCACCUCACAGAGCUGUCGUGCGCGGGAAACCGUCGGCUCAUGGCCUGACACACCAUCGUCAUUGCCAUCACCCGCCGACCUGCUGCUGGGGAAGCAGCCGCUGGGGACAGCAGGCCGUUUGUCGGCCUUGCCUCUCCUCCUCACCAUAACCCAAGCUGCUGCCUGGCCCGGAAGAGCUGACCUCUGGCUGGGGAUCAGGAGGACCUGGCUGGCGCCGGAGCAACUCAGGUGAGCGCGGGAGGCAGGCUUCGUGCUCUGACAGCACUCAUGGGGCACCGGGGCCCAGAGGAAGACUCAACCACACUCCAGGCUGCCUAGCUGGGCUCUCUCCCCUAGUCUGCCAGUGACAGGAAGAGGGGCCUCUAGGCGCUGCCCUCCCACAAUCUCAUGGGACUGGCCAGAAACAGCCAUCGCCUGUGGAGCACAUUUUAAGCAGGGCAGCCGGGCCCAGUCAGCCCGUGAGGAGAGGAGAAUGUCCCGUAACAAAGUUCCUGCUGCCCCCAAAUGGUCCAGGAGGCACAGGGCUCAGUGUUUCCAGCGCUUCUGCCUCAAGACACAGCCCCGGUUCCCCAUGCUCGGAAGAGUCCUCAGCCCCUGCUCCAUCAAGGUCUGUGCCAGUGUCUGUCACUCCUCCCCAACUCCAGAUUCUCAGUCACCUUUCUGUGUGCCCCCCUCACGGCCAGGUCAGAGCAGGUAUCCAGGCCGAGCCUUUCUCCUUCAUUCCCUACAACAACCUAUGGGCCCGCAAAGACUACUAUUGCCCCCAUUAUACAGAUAUGGAAACUGAGGCUCAAGGAGAUUAAGCCAAGAAUCCCUUCCUCACACUUUUCCAUUUGCUGUUCCCCCUGCCUGAAACAUUCCUCCCCAGUCACCAUCCCCAUGUCUCCCAGUCUUCGGGUCUCAGCUCAGAUGUCAGCCCUGAGAGAGGCCUUCCCUGAGCACCCUGACCCACUAUUUUCCUUCCUGGUAUUUACCCCUGUCCCGGGGAGUACACAUUUCCUUUUAUGUAUUUUUUGUCGCUCUCUACCAGUGAGAGUCCCCUGAAGGAGGGACUGUCAUUAGUAACAUGUGUCAGACAAGUCACACAGCAAGAGUUGGAGCCAGGAUUCAGGCCCAGAGAGCCUGGCUCCAUAGUCCCUCCUUGUUUCCCAGGGUCUAAUUCCACUUUGUGGAAAGUGGUGGGGGGGGGGGUGCGGGGUGAAGAACA